CAAAAGGUACCACAUGCAGGAAAGGACUUCUGGCAUAGGAUUAAGGAAGUCUGGGAGAAGCUAACUCAGAUAAUUAAUUUUUACAGUUGGCAUCCCAGAUGGGAGCUAUGAAAUUGACUCCAGACUUCCAUAAGUGGUCCUUUCCAAGGAAUCUCCCUGAGAGCUCUCUGGUCACUGAGGGACUUCUUCUCCGAGGGCCAUCUCUCCUCAGCCCAGAAUCAAAAUUCUUCCAAGCUAAGUGAAUUCUGAGCCUGGCUGUGACAUCUUAUCAUUCAAUUGCUGCCUAUGACUCAUGCCUGAAAUCAAACAGAAUGAAUUAAUGCUACUGUGUCCCUGCCUUUCUCCUCACACAGCAAAUUCCAUUAAUAAGGGACACUUUCUGGUUACAAAAGGCAUCACCCGCAGGAAAGGAUUGCUGGCAUAGGAUUAAGGAAGUCUGGGAGAAGCUAACUCAUCAGGUGACCUGCUUUGUCCAAUUAAAUUAUGUUCAGACAAGUUUCUGUCUUUUUUUUAUUCCCCUUUUUUUGUUAUAAAAAUCAGUUCUGUAAAUCACUCCUGAUCUCUGACAUCUGAGGAGUCAGGUGACCUGAC